rnacentral:rRNA from 1 species
GUCCACGCCGUAAACGAUGGAUACUAGCUGUUGGGGGCAACUUCAGUGGCUAAGCGAAAGUGAUAAGUAUCCCACCUGGGGAGUACGUUCGCAAGAAUGAAACUCAAAGGAAUUGACGGGGGCCCGCACAAGCGGUGGAGCAUGUGGUUUAAUUCGAUGAUACGCGAGGAACCUUACCAAGGCUUAAAUGUAGUCUGACCGAUUUGGAAACAGAUCUUUCGCAAGACAGAUUACAAGGUGCUGCAUGGUUGUCGU